rnacentral:rRNA from 1 species
GACGAACGCUGGCGGCGUGCUUAACACAUGCAAGUCGAACGGAAAAGCGCUGUCUUUGUUGGUUGGUGUGGUGGCGAGCCGGAGGGGUAAACGUGAGUAACCUAACCUUGCCUUUUGUAUUACUUAACGGCACUGGGGCUUAUACCAUAUGGGAUCUUCUGCUGCAUUGUGGUGAUGGGAAUGUUUCGGCGGUUGGUGAUGGACUGGCGGGUCAUCCGCUUGUUGGUGGGGUAGUUGCUUAGCAGGGCUAUGAAGGGUAGCCGGCCUGAGAGGGUGACCGGCCACAUUGGGACUGAGAGACGGCCCAGACGCCUACGGGAGGCAGCAGUGGGGAAUAUUGCACAAUGGGCGGAAGCCUGAUGCAGCAACGCCGCGUGCGGGAUGACGGCCUUCGGGUUGUAAACCGCUUUCGCCUGUGACGAAGCGUGAGUGACGGUAAUGGGUAAAGAAGCACCGGCUAACUACGUG